AGAGCUGAACCCCAAUUUCGUUCGUCAUUCAGCUGCAAAUGCAGCUGAAUGCAUGCGAUGACUACUCGCUGACCCUUCCUCUGUGACCAGCCAGAGACUGGGCUUUGCUGGGAAUAAUAGGCUGCCCCCAGGGAGCUUCUGAAAUCUAGUCCUGUCUCCAUCCCUGACUUACUGUGUGGCCUUGAGCCAGCUGCUGGACCUCUCUGGGCCUACUUUCACAUCUGGAAUAUCAGGAGAGUCUCCAACAUCCAAUGAUUCUCCCUGGAGGAUGCUCACCCUCUUCUCCAGCUGAACGCUUCAGGCAAAUCAGAGGAAAGUGAAGCUCUGGUCACAGACGACCCCCCCUUGCAAAUCUUCCAUCUUCUCCCACUGCCCUCCCCUCCCUACUGUCAGGAGCUAGCAGCACCGGCUCGCUUGCCAAACUUGUUGCUAUGACAACGGGUUACAAAUAACUCAGAUGAAGACAAGGAUUUUAACCCAAGAGCUGCUGGGCCAAAGACUUUUUCCUCCUUCCCCACAUCAGACUGAAGGAACAAUCAGACAAAUUCUUUGGGAUCCAAUCACUCCCCUGCUUACAAGCCUGCAGGGUUCCUCAGUGUCAUAAGAGUAGAUCUUGGCAUCUGAUAUCCUCCUAAAACUUGACUCAAAUCUUUCCAAUCACACUUCCCACUUGCUCUCAUUAAAAAGUGGUCACUCUCAUUUUGUUUGAGCACCUACUGCCUGGCAAGCCCUGUGUUGGACGCCUUACAUACUGCAGCUAAGAAAAUGUUUCCAGAACUCUCUCAGAGUCUUCAUCUUCAUGCUUGUCCCCUCGUGGUCACAAGAUUGUGUCACAGCUCCAGGCAGCACAACUAUAUUCAAGACAGAAAGAAGAAGGAAGGGGACAAUAUCUGCUCUGUGUGUCUCAAGAAAGCAAAAGUCUUUGAUGGAGGCUCCCAUAACUGGGACACACAGCAUCUCUAGCUGCAAAGAAGGCUAAGAACACAUCUGGUUCUUCAGCCUCUGAGUGGGAGAUGGCAAGGAGGAGGGGGUUGGGAGUGGUAAAUGCCAGAAGAAACCCCCAUUGUUCAAAGUAGUUGCCUGCAGGGAGCAGGACUUACAGUGGAAGGAGUGGGACAGGAUAUUGAUGGGGGUUAUUAUGAGCUCCUCAGCACUAUUUUGUUUUUUAACUAUGCCAAGUGUUACUUUGAUGAAAAUUAAAAAUUUAGAAAUAAAGUGUUAUGGUUUCUGUGAAAGAAAAACACUUUAAAAAAUUAAAGCUGUAGCAGUUUUCUGUCUCUAGAGAAAAGGACAUCGGUUCACCUUAGAAGCCAGCUAACCAGAAUAAGCUCUUCAUUGGACUAAGGUAUCUUGGGUAUCCACCCACUGAUCUUAGAGAACAUUGUGCCAUCGCUGUUAACCUGAAUGUGGCUGCUUCCAGUGCAGCACUGUGUAGCAGUUACAUGGGCUGACGGUGGUUAGACAGUCCUGGUGCAAUUUCCUGUCUGCCAUUUAUUAGCUCUGUGACCCUGAGCAAUUGACACCUGGGAGCCUCACUGUCCUUCUUUAUGAAAUGAAGGUAAUUCAAGUGUGUGGUACAGAGUAAGCACUCCGCAAAUGUUACCAACUGUGAUUCAAAUGUUAAAUGUUCUGAGCUGUGACAUAAUUUGGGUGUACUUUAACAGUAUUAUGCUUCCACCGAGUCCACUUUUUUAAAAAAUCCUAUUCAUGGGCUUGGACUGGACUGUCCCUGAAAAUUAUUAUUUGUUCCUGAGAGAUGUGUGCAUGUAUUUUUGCUCACAGAACAUACUCAGUUUGGAUCAUCAUGAAAUGCACAAGCUUGAAUUGCUGUUGACUCCACCCUGUGAAAUGUGCUGCUGACUAUUGUGAUUGCCUUGUGUGGGUCACAGGGACCAGGUCACCACUGUGGGUAUUAGCUGUGAAAAUGUCCCAGAGAGAAAAUGGAUAUGGGGAGUGUUGCGCUGGAGCAGGAAAUAUGAUUGGCCUGGGAGUUGGGGACCGAACAAUGACCUCCUCUCUGAUGUCAAGGUGAGAGCUGGAGAUCUGGACUCCACAUAGGGAGCAUAUGGCUAAAACCCAACCAGUUGGUGGAUAAUAAUCUUUCCCACACAUAUCAGACAUGGAGGCUAAAGAGAGGGACAGCCAGUAAGCGAGCCCUUCAGAGGGGCAUGGCUGACAUUGUUUUGGAGAGGUAAUAUCUAGUAUGCAUUUACAGUUUUCCUUUCUGGCCAGGUAAUUAUCAUCUGUUAUUCCCAAGACUCCUGUAAAGUUCCAUUAAGCACACAUACAGAGAAGAUAUUGCGUCCAUUAAAAAAAAAAAAAAAGAUGCUAUGAAAGUGGCAUCUUUGGAGCAUAAGAGUGCUUAGAAAUUUUAAAUGACUGCCAAAAUAAAAAAGUUACAUAGAAGAUAGUCAAGAAAAUAUCUCAGGAUGGAAAACAUGAGAGAAAAUAAAAAGACAAAGACAAUCAGGAGAUCUGAAAUACAACUAACAAGAGGUCUAGAAAGGGAACAGAGAAAAUAAAGGGGAGAAAAUUAGCAAAGAAAUAAAACCGAUUUCUCAGAAGAAGGGGACAUGCGUCUUCAGAUUGAAAAAGCCUAACCACUAGGUGCCCAGUAAAACAGAUGGGGAAAAAACACACUUUGGGGCUCAUCACUGUGAUAUUUCAGAAUAUUGAGGAUGAAGGGAAAAAAUGUAAGCUUCCAGAGGUAGGAAAAAUAGGUUGCCAACAAAAUAAAUGAGAAUAAUAUUAGCACCCAACUUCUACUAAUCAGCAGCAUGCUAAAAGCAAUACCAACAAAAGUCAGAGGAAAAACAUUGUUAACAUAGAAUUCUAAAGAAAAACUAUUAUUCAAAUAUAAAUGUAAAAUAAUGCUACAUUUUCAGAUAUGCAAAGACCUUUAGGAAGUUACCUGAGGUUGUUCCCCAAUAAAACAACAUAUGAUGUCUCAGUCAGGAUUCUUGGACACAAGCAACAGUGACUCUAGUUAACUUAAGCAGAAAAGGGAUUUAUUACAAGAUUAUCAUGUACCUCACAGGAUGCUGGAGAACUGGGCAGGAAAAGCCACAGCUAAGGCCACACUCUGGGGACAGCUGGAUUUGCAUGCUGCUAUUGGUACAGCUGCCCCCACUGCUGUGACCCCUGGACAUCACCCUACCACCACAUGCCACUGAAGAGGACUGUAACCAUCCUCCUCUCUGUUCUCAUUUAUUUGUGGUCAACUUCAGGAUUGUGUUAAUCAUGCUCUUCAAUCCAUGGCACAUUAUUUUCAUCAGUCCGAUCAAGGCCCCUCUUUUGCUUUAUUUCACGGUAGUAUUAUUUUUCCGUCAGUCUCCAUUCCAACUGCCACUCUCCUCCCCACCUCAGUGAAUGACUCUAGUGUGUAUAGUGCAUAUACACUUCCGAUCCAUUUUCCUGGCACCUAUUUUGGUAUGUGCAUAUCCAUGAAAAUAUGUGUUGUUUUACAUUUAACCAAGUGGUAUUAUGCUGUAAAUCCCAUUCUCUUUAUCUUUUUCCAUUCAGCACUAGGUUUGCAGACCUAGCUAUGUGGCUAUAUGUGAAUUUAGCUAUUUUCUUUUUACUGUUUUAUAUAUUCCAUCCUAUGAAUAUAUCAGUUUGCGUAUCCAGUCCCAUGGUAAUGGUCACCUGGGUUGCUUCCAAUUCUUCACUACCACAAACUAUGCUGCAACAAACCACCUCAACUAUAUUUCCUUAUGGGCCUGUGUGAGAAUUCUCUGAAAUAUAUACCCAGGAGUGCAACUGCUGGGUUGUGGGAUAUACACAUACUGAAUUUCAGGAGGUACGGCCAAAUUACUCUCUGGAAUAUCUGUACUGGUUUACAUUCCCACCCAGUUUUCCUUUUCCUCACAUCAUCAGCACUUGAUAAUAUCUGACUUUCUACAUAAUGUCAUUCUUGUAAUGAUUUCUCACCGCUAUUUUAGCAGGGUUGAAAAUCUAACAUAUUCAAGUUUCCCCUUGUGUAAAUUCAUGUUUCUCCUUCUGUUAAUUACUCUUCAUUUCCUUUGCCCAUUAUCCUAUUGGGUAACUAUCUUCUUUUUUAGUCAUUAAUCUUUUGCCAGUUUUGCUAGUAUCCAUGAGGACGCAGGUUCAAUCCCUGGCCUCACUCAGUGGGUUAAGGAUCUGGCGUUGCCGUGAGCUGUGCAGAUGU